rnacentral:piRNA from 1 species
UAUGGGAUCAAAUCUCACAGGAGCAAAUGGC